rnacentral:lncRNA from 1 species
GGGUUCAUUACAUGGGCAGCAAUUUAGUGGACAAUGAAAAAAGUCAUACAUUUCAACAUAGAGCUGGGAUCAUAAACCUAAAAUUAUCGACACCAACCAAACUGACACUUAUCGUGGACAUUUAGCUGAUAUUGUUCAUUACGAUAAAUAAUCUAUAGGGCCCUACUAGAGAAAUCUGAAGUUUAAAAUGAAAUACGUUUAAUUGUUAAUAGGACAAUUGAUAGCUACAACAUUCAAAGUAGUAAUAGUAUUCAGGGUAAUAUAAAACAAUUACUGUGGUGCACAUUAUGUUCUAAACUUAUUGUUCAAUUUACCGUUAUUGUGAUAAUUCAGUACAUUUAUGCUGAUAAGGAUUGUUGUCCAUAUCGCCCAGCUCUAAUUCAACGUGACUUCAGACCUGCCCAGAGUCUCCAUAUCCUCUUUGGGCUGUUCUUUGUCCUAAGCACAGAUCAGCUCUCACCUCAGAAUCUUAUUCGUUGACGGCAGAAAGAGGAAAAUAUGUCUCCAUCUUAUUUUCUAAUGAUUUUUGUGGCCGGUGUUGCAGUUAGAAAAUGUUCUGCAGGUAUGUAUUACAUCAUGUCAUUAGUUGAGGAAUGAUAUUAGAGAUAGGCUAUUGUCUUUCAUAUACGAUUUGUCACUACAGCAGUUUGGUGAUACCGUUUCUACAACUCGUUCUUUAAAUGUACAUUAUUUAGCCACAACAGUUUCAGAAACAUACAUAGAUUUCAGUCUACGAUUGACAGCUUUAACAAUUUGAAUUCUCACUAUUUAUAUAUUUAAAUCCAAACAGAUUCUGUCUCCAGUUCAAGCAUUGUAUUAUCCCCUGGGUACAUCAAUGCAGCCAGAUCUGUCAAAGUACGCUGUGAAUCAACAGAAGGUACAGAGUGCUGUUUUUACAGAGACCAGGAUCCAACCCCAAUAAGAAAAGUGGACUACAACAGUGUUUGACAAUUCACAUUGUUCUGGGAUGAGUUCAAAACCUGGAACAAGAGUGAAGUAGAUCUCAGCUGUGCUAUUCUACAGAAGAGAGAAGGGAAAACGAUAUCUUCAGAACGUAGUGACACUCGAAGAC